GUUGAUUCUCUUUGUUUUAUUAAAUGCAUUCAUAAUACAGGGCAUUAAAUCUAAAAUAAUUUAUAAUCCUUACAUAUCAAAUGAUCAAAUAAACGAUUUACUAAACCAAGUAACAGCAAAACACGAACAUGAAACCUCAGAAAAAAAAUUAGAAGAACUGGAUUGCGCAUAUUGGCUUUUGCAAAAUAUUGUGAAUAUUCGUAAAAAGAUAGCUGAAGGAAAAAAUCGUGGUGAUAUACCAGAUUAUGAAGAACCAGAGCUUCAGAGUCCAACUGAAUAUUUACCUAAUGAACUCGUUACUCUUACGCCAGUUCCACAGGAAGAAAAACCAGAACCUCAAACCGAAAAUGUACCAAUUGAAGUUGUAACUCCUUCUCCAAUAUCAGAGGAAGCAGAACCAGAACCGCAAACUGAAAAUGUACCUAUUGAAAUUGUAACUCCUACACCAACACCUCAGAGUCCAACUAA